UACGUAGGGGGCAAGCGUUGUCCGGAUUUAUUGGGCGUAAAGAGCGUGUAGGCGGCCUUACAGGUCAGCUGUGAAAACUCGAGGCUCAACCUCGAGACGUCGGUUGAAACCGUAAGGCUAGAGUCCGGAAGAGGAGAGUGGAAUUCCCGGUGUAGCGGUGAAAUGCGUAGAUAUCGUAAGGAAGACCAGUGGCGAAGGCGGGUCUCUGGACAGUUCCUGACGCUGAGGCACGAAGGUCAGGGGAGCAAACGGG
rnacentral:rRNA from 1 species